AGAGUUUGAUCAUGGCUCAGGACGAACGCUGGCGGCGCGCUUAACACAUGCAAGUCGAGCGAGAACCAGGGCUUCGGCCCUGGGGACAGCGGCGAACGGGUGAGUAACACGUGGGUAAUCAACCCUCGACACUGGGAUAGCCCGGGGAAACCCGGAUUAAUACCGGAUGUCCCAUCUGGCCUUCGGGCCGGCUGGAAAAGGUAGCUUCGGCCUCCGGUCGGGGACGAGCCCGCGGCGGAUUAGCUUGUUGGUGGGGUAACGGCCCGCCAAGGCGACGAUCCGUAGCUGGUCUGAGAGGACGAUCAGCCACACUGGGACUGAGACACGGCCCAGACUCCUACGGGAGGCAGCAGUGGGGAAUCUUGCGCAAUGGGCGAAAGCCUGACGCAGCGACGCCGCGUGAGGGAAGACGGCCUUCGGGUUGUAAACCUCUUUCAGGAGGGACGAAGCCACUCGGGUUAAUAGCCCAGAGGGUGACGGUACCUCCAGAAGAAGCCCCGGCUAACUACGUGCCAGCAGCCGCGGUAAUUC
rnacentral:rRNA from 1 species